CGGCGUAGGCCGCUGCAUCGCCGGCUCUCCUCCUAACCUCCACGACGACCAAAUCAUGGGUUAAUCGAUCAAUUUGAACCCCGAUUAUGAAAUUACCAUUUGGUCCCUGCAGGUCAACUCCCCAUUCCUUCUUCCAAUUCACCGUCAGGUUCUCACCUUCGGCAAUUUCCUCGAUUUUCUCGAUUAUUUUCUCCACGGGCUCGGCCGAUACAAAUCGCUCGUCGUCAUCCGGCGACGACUUGGACGAGUCAUUGAACAGACCCGACAAGUUCAAACCAGACGAGAACGAAAUUAUGUCGAAGGCAUUCAAGUUCGUGGGGCUUCGGUCCUCUUUUUCGGAUUUGAGUCCGAAAUCUUCUUCAUGGAACUUCACCUCUUUGUAUCCUUUUCUGAACCAUGGGUCCUGCAGGAUUUCAUCGACGGUGAUCCUGGUGUUGGGGUUGGUGUCGAGGAGGCGAGAAAGGAAACGUUUAAGGUCCGGCGACAUCCAUUUAGGGCACCGGAACUCGCCUUUGUAUAUUUUCUUGUACAUGGCCAUGAGAUUGGGAUCGUUGAAGGGUAGGUAACCGGCGUUCAACACGAAGAGGAUGACUCCGCAGGACCACACAUCCACUUUCGCCCCAUCGUAGCCUUUCUUGGUGAGAAUCUCCGGCGCGACGUAAGCUGGAGUGCCGCACAAGGUGUGCAGGAGGCCGUCGAGGCGAAUCUGAUCCGUCAAGGCGCUGAGCCCGAAAUCUGAAACCUUCAAGCACCCGUUCUCGUCAACGAGGAGGUUCUCCGGUUUCAGAUCCCGGUGAAACACCCCCCGCGAAUGGCAGUACCCGACGGCGGAGAUCAACU
rnacentral:lncRNA from 1 species